rnacentral:rRNA from 1 species
CCUACGGGUGGCAGCAGUGAGGAAUAUUGGUCAAUGGACGAAAGUCUGAACCAGCCAAGUCGCGUGAAGGAUGACUGCCCUAUGGGUUGUAAACUUCUUUUAUAUGGGAAUAAAAUGUUCCACGUGUGGGAUUUUGUAUGUACCUUAUGAAUAAGGAUCGGCUAACUCCGUGCCAGCAGCCGCGGUAAUACGGAGGAUCCGAGCGUUAUCCGGAUUUAUUGGGUUUAAAGGGAGCGUAGGUGGAUUGUUAAGUCAGUUGUGAAAGUUUGCGGCUCAACCGUAAAAUUGCAGUUGAUACUGGCAGUCUUGAGUACAGUAGAGGUAGGCGGAAUGCGUGGUGUAGCGGUGAAAUGCUUAGAUAUCACGAAGAACUCCGAUUGCGAAGGCAGUUCACUGGACUGCAACUGACACUGAGGCUCGAAAGUGUGGGUAUCAAACAGGAUUAGAUACCCUAGUAGUC